rnacentral:rRNA from 1 species
CCCUUAGAUGUUCUGGGCCGCACGCGCGCUACACUGAUUCAUGCAACAAGUUUUGUCCUUGGCUGAUAGGCCUGGGUAAUCUUUGAACGUGAAUCGUGAUGGGGAUAGAUGAUUGCAAUUAUUCAUCUUCAACGAGGAAUUCCUAGUAAACGCAAGUCAUCAGCUUGCAUUGAUUACGUCCCUGCCCUUUGUACACACCGCCCGUCGCACCUACCGAUUGAAUGGUCCGGUGAAAUCUUCGGAUCUGAGAGAUGUCUGAUUAAUUUCGGACGCCUUUUGGAAAAGUUGCUUAAACCUUACCAUUUAGAGGAAGGUGANGUCGUNACA